AAUCAAAUAUAAUAAUUUUCGUAAGCAAGUCUUAUGGACGGUGGUUGUCAUACGAAAGGAGAUUAAUAUGAAAUCCAUUAGUAAGGACAACCAUUAUAAUGACGACGUUUCAAACGUUAUCGUUGAUGAUUGCUGUUGCAACCUUGGUAGCGAUGAUUAUGAAGAAAUA
rnacentral:sRNA from 1 species